rnacentral:rRNA from 1 species
UGAGGAGGAAGCCCCGGCUAACUACGUGCCAGCAGCCGCGGUAAUACGUAGGGGGCUAGCGUUAUCCGGAUUUACUGGGCGUAAAGGGUGCGUAGGCGGUCUUUCAAGUCAGGAGUGAAAGGCUACGGCUCAACCGUAGUAAGCUCUUGAAACUGGGAGACUUGAGUGCAGGAGAGGAGAGUGGAAUUCCUAGUGUAGCGGUGAAAUGCGUAGAUAUUAGGAGGAACACCAGUUGCGAAGGCGGCUCUCUGGACUGUAACUGACGCUGAGGCACGAAAGCGUGGGGAGCAAACAGGAUUAGAUACCCUGGUAGUCCACGCUGUAAACGAUGAGUACUAGGUGUCGGGGGUUACCCCC